rnacentral:misc_RNA from 1 species
GACUUUCAGCGAUGGAUGUCUCGGAUCUCGUAACGAUGAAGGACGCAGCUAGCUGCGAUACGCAGUGUGACUUGCAAACUUCUGAGAAUCAUUAGAUUUUUGAACGCAAAAGGCACUCUUGGGCUCUGCUCAGGAGUAUGCUCACUUCAGUGCUUUAUUUGUUUGUUGUCUUGAUUGGUAGACAACGUGGAUAGUUGCUGUUUUAACGGCCGCUGAAAUUGUAUGAUCUUGCCUCUUUGGUGAUCCCUUAGUGACAACGAUCUAAGACUUUAAACAAGCCUGAAUUUGAGCAAGGCUACCCGCUGAAUUUAAGCAUAUUAUUAAGCGGAGGAAAAGAAACUAACUAGGAUUCCCUUAGUAACGGCGAGUGAACAGGGAAGAGCUCAAACUGAAAAUCGUCAGCUUGCUGUCGAAUUGUAGUCUCACGAAGUGCAACCUGUGUUUGUCCUAGGCUAAGUCUCUUGGAAAAGAGUACCAAAGAGGGUGAAAGUCCCGUCUUUGCUUAGAGACGUUCACGUUCGGUGCAUUUUCAAAGAGUCGCGUUCCUUGAGAUUGGAGCGCUAAUUGGGUGAUAAAUUUCAUCUAAAGCUAAAUACUAACGAGAUUCCGAUAGCAUACAAGUACCGUGAGGGAAAGAUGAAAAGGACUUUGGAAAGAGAGUUAAAAGGAACUGAAAUUGCUGAAAGGUAA